GUUUUAUUCACUUUUUUCAACUAAAUUAUAAAAUUCCUGCUGUCAGAUGCUUUAUUAAAUGAAAAUAUUUAUUGACAGAAGGGAAGUAGACUUAUAUUUUGCCUCAAGCUCUUGGUAUCAGGUCACCUCACCAAAUUCCCUACUUUGCUUUGUUUCCAAUGACUUUCGCAGCAAUCAAUCCAGACUACCUGUUGAAUCAAGUUUUAUUCUUUGGUCUACUUUUUCAAGGCUUUCGUUUUUAUAUGGUCAAUACAAAUGCCUGAGAAUUAUCCAGCAAAGCCGGGUCAGUUUCUUCCCUGGCCGACCUAUAAAGCACUUUCAUUUCUACCUCUGUGAUUAUUUUUCCUCUUCGUGUCAUCCACAUGCCUUGAAUUCCUUUUCUCUUACACUUAACUGAGUUUUGCUCAACCUUCAAGCCCAGUAGAAACCAUGUCAGGCCCAGUAGAAACCAUGUCAGGACCAGUAGAAACUGUGUCAGGCCCGGUAGAAACCGUGUCAGGCCCGGUAGAAACCCUGUCAGGCCCAGUAGAAACCAUUCCAGGCCCAGUAGAAACCAUGUCAGGCCCGGUAGAAUCAGGCCCGGUAGAAACCGUGUCAGGCCCAGUAGAAACCGUGUCAGGCCCGGUAGAAACCAUUUCAGGCCCGGUAGAAACCGUGUCAGGCCCAGUAGAAACCAUUCCAGGCCCAGUAGAAACCAUGUCAGGCCCAGUAGAAACCAUUCCAGGCCCAGUAGAAACCAUGUCAGGCCCAGUAGAAACCAUUUCAGGCCCAGUAGAAACUGUGUCAGGCCCAGUAGAAAUCAUGUCAGGACCAGUAGAAAUCAUUCCAGGCCCAGUAGAAACCGUGUCAGGCCCAGUAG
rnacentral:lncRNA from 1 species